rnacentral:rRNA from 2 species
CUUGAAUCCCUAUAAGAGGUCCAGCCUGCCCAGUGACUUUGUUCAACGGCCGCGGUAUCCUAACCGUGCGAAGGUAGCGUAAUCACUUGUCUUUUAAAUGAGGACUUGUAUGAAUGGCAUCACGAGGGUUAUACUGUCUCCUUUCUCUAAUCAGUGAAACUAAUCUUCCCGUGAAGAAGCGGGAAUAAAUAUAUAAGACGAGAAGACCCUAUGGAGCUUUAAACUCAAUAACAAAUACUAACCUCACUUUAACUUCCAGAACAUUAACACUAAUCCUAGUAUCAUGAUUAUUAGUUUUAGGUUGGGGUGACCGCGGAGUAAAAAUUAACCUCCACAUUGAACAGGACCUUUCCUUGAGCUAAGAACUACAACUCUAAGCACCAACAAAUUGACAUUAAUUGACCCAAUACUUUGAUCAACGAAC